CUGCGNGNCCUAUCAUGCAAGUCGUACGCUUCUUUUUCCACCGGAAGCUUGCUCCACCGGAAAAAGAGGAGUGGCGAACGGGUGAGUAACACGUGGGUAACCUGCCCAUCAGAAGGGGAUAACACUUGGAAACAGGUGCUAAUACCGUAUAACAAUCGAAACCGCAUGGUUUUGAUUUGAAAGGCGCUUUCGGGUGUCGCUGAUGGAUGGACCCGCGGUGCAUUAGCUAGUUGGUGAGGUAACGGCUCACCAAGGCCACGAUGCAUAGCCGACCUGAGAGGGUGAUCGGCCACAUUGGGACUGAGACACGGCCCAAACUCCUACGGGAGGCAGCAGUAGGGAAUCUUCGGCAAUGGACGAAAGUCUGACCGAGCAACGCCGCGUGAGUGAAGAAGGUUUUCGGAUCGUAAAACUCUGUUGUUAGAGAAGAAUAAGGAUGAGAGUAACUGUUCAUCCCUUGACGGUAUCUAACCAGAAAGCCACGGCUAACUACGUGCCAGCAGCCGCGGUAAUACGUAGGUGGCAAGCGUUGUCCGGAUUUAUUGGGCGUAAAGCGAGCGCAGGCGGUUUCUUAAGUCUGAUGUGAAAGCCCCCGGCUCAACCGGGGAGGGUCAUUGGAAACUGGGAGACUUGAGUGCAGAAGAGGAGAGUGGAAUUCCAUGUGUAGCGGUGAAAUGCGUAGAUAUAUGGAGGAACACCAGUGGCGAAGGCGGCUCUCUGGUCUGUAACUGACGCUGAGGCUCGAAAGCGUGGGGAGCAAACAGGAUUAGAUACCCUGGUAGUCCACGCCGUAAACGAUGAGUGCUAAGUGUUGGAGGGUUUCCGCCCUUCAGUGCUGCAGCUAACGCAUUAAGCACUCCGCCUGGGGAGUACGACCGCAAGGUUGAAACUCAAAGGAAUUGACGGGGGCCCGCACAAGCGGUGGAGCAUGUGGUUUAAUUCGAAGCAACGCGAAGAACCUUACCAGGUCUUGACAUCCUUUGACCACUCUAGAGAUAGAGCUUCCCCUUCGGGGGCAAAGUGACAGGUGGUGCAUGGUUGUCGUCAGCUCGUGUCGUGAGAUGUUGUGUUAAGUCCCGCAACGAGCGCAACCCUUAUUGUUAGUUGCCAUCAUUCAGUUGGGCACUCUAGCAAGACUGCCGGU
rnacentral:rRNA from 1 species